rnacentral:rRNA from 1 species
AUUGAACGCUGGCGGCAGGCCUAACACAUGCAAGUCGAGCGGAGCGGCGGACGGGUGAGUAAUGCCUAGGACUCUGCCUGGUAGUGGGCGAUCACUUCCGGAAACGGGCGCUAAUACCGCAGACUAUCAGAUCAGCCUAGGUCGGAUUAGCUAGUUGGUGGGGUAAAGGCCUACCAAGGCGACGAUCUGUAACUGGUCUGAGAGGAGGAUCAGUCAACCUGGAAAUGAGACACGGUCCAAGCUCCUACGGGAGGGAGCCGUGGGGAAUAUUUGGCAAUGGGCCGAAGCCUUAUCCAGCCAUGCCGCGUGUGUGAAGAAGGGCUUCCGAUUGUAAAGCACUUUAAGUUGGGAGGCGGUACCAACAGCAUAAGCACCGGCUAACCUCGUGCCAGCAGCCGCGGUAAUAC